rnacentral:rRNA from 1 species
CAGUUGGCCUUUAAUUGGGGUCGGGUAUGAAAGGAGAAAUCUAAGUAUAACUGUCUCAACAGUAUAUCUCUGAACUUACUUAUAGGGUGAAAAUUCCCAAAAAUAAAUAAAAGACGAGAAGACCCUUAGACUUGUUCCUAAGUGUAAUUAAAUUUAUAUAAGGCUUUGUUGGGGCGACAGAAUGCCAGCUGAUACAUAACGCAUUUAUAGAAUAUUGGGAUUUAACAAGUCUUAUUUCUUAUAAUGGAAGUACCUAAGGGAUAACAGCAUUAUUAAUUAAUUACAUUG